rnacentral:lncRNA from 1 species
GGCAAAGAGAAGAAGAAGGUAGAAGUGACACAGAAGAUGAAGAUGAAGGCUCUGAAUCACCUAUUGUGUCUGGAGAUGAGGUUGAUAGUGAGGAAGGUAUGUGUAAUUCCCAAUCCAUUCAUCAAUGUAGUAAGUAGUAACUGCUAAGUAUCUCAGAGAUUCAUUAUAGUUUCAGCAGUUCCUUUUCACAAUUUUAUUUAUUAAUUUCUGUUAUGCAAGGUAGUAGGUAACUUGUGGACUUGUGAAAUUAUGUGUCUUUCCUGGUUAUGCCUAGAAGGUUCCCAAAAUUUUAAUGAAGUGAUAAUUUUACCAGCCAAAACUCAUAAGAAAAUGGAAUAAUCAUUAUGUCCGUUGUAAAUAAAUAAAAUAGAAAAGAUUAUGAAUUUGCACAACAAGACAAAUUGAGUCCACUUUCUUUCUUUGUACAUAAUGGUUAAGUGUUCUCUCUGACCUCUUCAGAAUAAAUGAGUCAUUGUUCACACUGGUAUCAGUGGGAUCUCUGAAAGCAUCUCCUAUUUUCUUUCUCAACGAAAUGACCCUCAUUAUUGUGAAGGAGUCUUCCCAUGAGUUUGUUCCUUCAUUGUGGGAAGGCCAGUAAGUCUUCUCACUUCUACCCACAAAUCUUGGGCAUUCAAAUAAGAAAAUAGCUGACAGACUAUUGUGCAAUUUAGGCGUCUUUGAGGGUUGAUCUUCGAGUCGAAAUUUUCAAGUCCCUCAGUAAUUUUUUCUUUUCAUCACACAAAAAUGUUUUUGUAGAUAGAAAUUAGUUUACGUGGAUGCUAUAUAUAUAAUGUCAUUAUAACUGAUGUUUGGUUUUGCAUGUUUUUGUUGACUUUGCGUAAAUAUUAGGCAAACGUGAGAUUUUGUUCUUACAAGUUGUUUUUAUUCUCAGGAUCCUUCCACGAGAACCGACCUUCAAGAACCUACCCAGGCUACUGUGUUGCAGAGUGAUGAUGCUGAAUGUGAACAUGAGGAUGAGCCAUUUGACACGGACCAAGAGGAUGGUAUUGACGGUAAUGGACAAAGCAGACAUUCAGUUGACAUCUCACUCAUGUCUAUAAGGUAGGGAAGAUAAACACGCUGCCUUGUUUGUAUAGUUAUUUGUUUACUUUUGAGCUUUUAACAUUAGUUUAUUAAGUCACGGAGAAA